GGUGCUUUUUUGGCAUGACUGACCUAUAGAAAUGUGCUCUUGCUUAAAUGUGAAAAACAUACACGUGUGCAAUGGUUCAUGUAGAAUUCAGCAGUAUUAGGACCAGUAAGUGCAUUGCUGGAAAUUACAUUUUAAAAGGGAGGAUGAUGCCAGGAAACCAAACGGUUUUGAUAGCAGAUCAACACAUGACAUUUUGUUCAGAUGUUCAGAAAUCCUUUACAGAUAUCUUAAUUAUCCCAGCUUCCAAAGAUUUGGCUUUUCAUUAUGGUUCUUCAGAACACCAAUUGUAAGAAUAUGAGAAGUAUUCUCUCCAUCCAUUCAGUUGUCUGUCUCUGUGCAAAGUCAGCAUAAAUCCAUCCCUGAAAUCCCCGGAGUUUCAGGGUACCAGCAGUUAGAGGAAAAGAUGAUAUGUAGGAAAUGAGCUGCUAAAAUCAGAUUGUCAAACAGGUUAAAUGAGUAAGGAGACCUCAGAAUGCCAAGGAUCCUGCUGAAUUUGACUGUAGCAUGGCAGGAUGAUUGGAAGAGCACUGUAUGCAUGCUUCACUUGCUGGAUAAUAUUUGAGCCUCCUCCAAUUACAGGAAUUGUAUGACCUGAGGAGUGCAACUCAGCUGCAAGGGUGUAGUGGAAUACAGCAGAACUUUUAUAUUAUGGAUGUAGGUAUUUUUUUUUUUUUUUUCCUGAUCAGAUUUUUACUAGUAAGCUGACAACAAUGCUAAUUUUUCCUUCUGUACUCUGUUGCCUGUCUAUGAUUCAGUUCUUGAGGGACAACAGCUACCUGUGUGUUCUAGCUGCAAAUGGAACUUCCUAUGAAGCAAAUAAUUAAAAAUGAGAGGGGGAAUGUUCUCUCUCGAAGAGAGUCUUUAACCCUUAGAUAAUAAUAUACGGGCACAAUCAUAUUACUUAAAAGGACUGCAAAUUUAUCAGAGGUUUCCUGUCUCAAACUUAGUCCUAUCUCUGCUUUUGGGGGGAAAUAAUUUCCUAUUCUUCAACAUGACACCAUCUGCUAGGGUCUGGAUUUGUGAAUGAAUGAAGACCAUGAGCAGCACUGGGCAAUUGGCAUAUUUCUAUUCUCCUUGAAAUUAUAGAAUCGUAGAAUCCUUAUAGUUGGAAGAGACCUUUAAAGGCCAUCUAGUCCAACUCCCCUGCAAUGAGCAGGACAUGCACAGCUACAUCAGGUUGCCCAGGGCCUGGGCCAGCCUGGCUUUGAAAAUCUCCAGGGAUGUGGCAUUAAUCACAUCUCUGAGUAUCCUGUGCCUGUGCCUUGCCACCUUCACUGUAGAAGCCUUUUUCCUUAUAUAUAACCUAAAUCCACCCUCUUUAAGCUUCAAGCCAUUUUCCCCUUGUUCUGUUACUUCAGACCCUGCUAAAGAGUCUGUCCCCUUCUUUUCUGUAGCUACCCUUCAGAUAUUGAAGGGCUGCUAUCAGGUCACCUCAGAGCCUUGAAAUUUCAUGGCUGAGAUAAGUAUCUGAUUACUGAUGGUGUCUUCUUGUCUGCAUCCUAAAGUAUACUUUUCAGUUUUUCCAAAUUCUCAUAUGGAGAUAUUAUUAAAGAAAUCAAAGCUAAGCAUUUAAUUUGUGCUCAGAGUUCCCACAGAAUUCUGUGCUUUAACAGCAGCUAGUGGUAAAAUUGAAUUCACAGCUAUGAACUAACAACAAAAAAGAAAACUUUCAGGAACAUUAGUAAGGACUGAAGGUGGGUAGUGCUUUUCCUUUCAGAAAAGAUUGCAAACUAAUUUAACUAAUUUAUAUAUAUUUAUAUUUAUAAUCCAGAAUUUCAGCUGGAUUUCAUCACCAAUAGCUAAGUAAGCAGAGAUUCUAUAAUUGAGUAUUACUCAAGCUGUUUUCAUACAAUCAGAAAAACUACGUAAUUUUGAGAACUAAGAAUUAUUACUGUGCAGCUAACAGUGACUUAUUGAUCUGUUUCUAUUCAGUUAUUUACAAAUGGCUGACAGCUUACUCUGGGACUUGAUAUUCUUGCAGAGAUUCUGUCUAUACCCUUCAUCCUGGUGUGCAGAUGGCCUCUCUGUUCAAUGAACUGUGAAGUACAAAACCUAGUGUAUGUGCAACUGGUGGUUUUUACGCAGCGCACCUAUGACAAACAGGCUGUGAGCUAGAGAAUUGUCCUACUUUCUUAUUGACUGUUAAAGAGUUUGAUUCUUUAGCAGAAAGUUCACAGCUAUUGUUAGCUGGGGGUAAAAAGUGAAGUGAAUUUUUAUUGGGAAAAUGUAUAAUAGUUAUACCAGGACACUGAUAUGAAACUUCAUAUAGUACCUAGAGAGAUGAGAUGAACUGUAGCUCCUAUAAGCAGUGGAAAUGGUGCUGUCUUGGUGCCGGGUGCUUAGUCUUUCUGAAAACAUGGUUUUGCUUGGAGUAUUUUUAAAAUUAUAAAAGCCUACACAAAGUAAACAAUUUUCUCUUUAA